rnacentral:lncRNA from 1 species
CUUGAGUCGACCCAACGUCGGGACCCCACUGUUAAAAGGGGGACCCGUGAGCUAUCUAGGGCACUGUUUACCCUUUGUCCUCUUCCGAAAACCCUAUUCUCCACUCUCAAAUCUUCUCCAAUCAUCUCCAAACAGUAGAUUACUUCAAGAUCUUGGAAAAAUGGGACCCGAGAGAGCCGUAGCCAAGCGAUCCGGGAGAGUCUCACGAUCUUGUUUAGAGCCUAGAAUAUGUAUCUAGUUCUCAUAUGUAUUUUGCUUUUAUCAUGUAUCUUUAAACUUUGAUUGAGGAACAUUGUAUUUAUUUUCAUUUUGGGCAUGAAUGUAUUAAAAUGUUCCUAUUUUGAUCAAUGAAGUUUGAAGUUUGUUAUUUAUUGCAUCUUUCCCAUGUAUCUUUUUGAUGA